GUUUUUCUAGACAGAGCCGCUGCAUUGGGUCAAGAUUUGUCCAGAAUACCGUACAGAGAGACAAACUGGAGGGGCACAAAGACAAGAAGCAGAGAUGGAACUCUUUCUAGGCAUUCUGGUAUUGAUUAUAAAGAAAUCAAACUCGGAACCAAAAUAAAUUCCAACCAUACAGGAGAGUUGUGGAAAGGUAUGUGGCAAGGCACCGAAGUGAUGACAAAGAUAUUGAAAUUCAACACUAUAACAUCAAGAAUACCAAGAGAAUUUGGAGAAGAAUUUCCAAGGCUGAGAAUCUUUUCACAUCCAAACAUAUUACCAGUUUUAGGAUGUUGUAAUCAUCCACCGAAUCUAUUGGUGUUGAAUGAAUAUAUGCCGUUUGGAUCACUGUAUAAUGUACUCCAUGAAGGCGCAGGUA